rnacentral:rRNA from 1 species
GGCCCUACGGGGCGCAGCAGGCGCGAAAACUUUACAAUGCGAGAAAUCGUGAUAAGGGAACCCCGAGUGCCCGUAAAUUCGGGCUGUCCAUCAGUGUAAAUAACUGGUGAAGAAAGGGCCGGGCAAGACCGGUGCCAGCCGCCGCGGUAAUACCGGCGGCUCGAGUGGUGGCCGCUAUUACUGGGCUUAAGGCGUCCGUAGCUGGGUUGUUAAGUCUCCUGGGAAAUCUACCGGCUCAACCGAUGGGCGUCCAGGAGAUACUGGCAACCUAGGGACCGGGAGAGGUGAGGGGUACUCCAGGGGUAGGAGUGAAAUCCUGUAAUCCUUGGGGGACCACCUGUGGCGAAGGCGUCUCACCAGAACGGCUCCGACAGUGAGGGACGAAAGCUGGGGGAGCAAACCGGAUUAGAUACCCGGGUAGUCCCAGCCGUAAACGAUGCGCGUUAGGUGUGUCGGUGACCACGAGUCACCGAGGUGCCGAAGGGAAACCGUGAAACGUGCCGCCUGGGAAGUACGGUCGCAAGGCUGAAACUUAAAGGAAUUGGCGGGGAGCACCACAACGGGUGGAGCCUGCGGUUUAAUCGGACUCA